rnacentral:rRNA from 1 species
GACGAACGCUGGCGGCGUGCUUAACACAUGCAAGUCGAACGGUGAAGCGCCUUCCUUUUUGGUGGGUGUGGAUGAGUGGCGAACGGGAGAGUAACACGUGAGUAACCUGCCCCCUUCUUCUGGAUAACCGCAUGAAAGUGUGGCUAAUACGGGAUAUUCUGGGUCUGUCGCAUGAUGGGUCUGGGAAAGAUAUUGUUUCGGUGGGGGAUGGGCUCGCGGCCUAUCAGCUUGUUGGUGGGGUGAUGGCCUACCAAGGCGGUGACGGGUAGCCGGCCUGAGAGGGUGGACGGUCACACUGGGACUGAGACACGGCCCAGACUCCUACGGGAGGCAGCAGUGGGGAAUAUUGCACAAUGGGCGCAAGCCUGAUGCAGCGACGCCGCGUGAGGGAUGGAGGCCUUCGGGUUGUGAACCUCUUUCGCCAGUGAAGCAGGCCUGCCUCGUUUGUGGGUGGGUUGACGGUAGCUGGAUAAGAAGCGCCGGCUAACUACGUG